rfam:Myotis brandtii contig210182, whole genome shotgun sequence.
GACCAGGUAGCUCAGUUGGUUAGAGCAUUGUCCGGAUAUGCCAAUGUUGCAGGUUAGAUCCUUGCUCAGGGCA